ACGACAUCACUUCCUGUUAGAUCGUCGGGUCUUUUCCUGUUUCAUGUGAUCGCUGUUUGCUCAGAGAAUACGGCAGAGACGCUAUGCAUACGCUAAUGAGUUAGCCAUCUCCUAUAACACAUUGUCCAGGCAACGCCUUUUCACCUCGUGUUAUUGAAGAUUUGGGAGUAAACGGUCAGCGCCACCACGACUCUGUCUUCAUUGACCGAAGUUUAGCUUGGUGUUUAAUCAGAGUUUUUACACUUUGCUGAGAACACUACAGGGAAGGCAAAAGAAUUGUCAAAUGAUCUGCGGGAAAAGGUAAUUGAACUGUAUAAAACAGGAAAGGGAUAUAAAAAGAUAUCCAAGGAUCUGGAAAUGCCUAUCAGCAGUGUUCAAACAUUAAUUAAGAAGUGGAAGCUGAGGGGUUCUGUUGAAACCAAACCAUGGUCAGGUAGACCAACAGAAAUUUCACCCACAGCUUCCAGAAAAAUUGCUCAGGAUGCAAAGAAAAACCCACAAAUAACUUCAGCUGAAAUACAGGAGUCUCUGAAAAAAACUGGGGUGGCUGUUUCAAGAUGCACAAUAAGGAGGCACUUGAACAAAAAUGGGCUCCAUGGUCGAGUCGCCAGAAGAAAGCCGUUACUACACAAAUGCCACAAAGCAUCCCGCUGACAAUAUGCCAAACAGCACAGAGACAAGCCUCAAAACUUCUGGAACAAAGUCAUUUGGAGUGAUGAGACCAAAAUUGAACUUUUUGGCCACAACCAUAAAUGCUACAUUUGGAGAGGAGUAAACGAGGCCUAUAAUGAGACGUACACAAUCCCUACUGUGAAACACAGAGGUGGAUCGCUGAUGUUUUGGGGAUGUGUGAGCUACAGAGGCACAGGAAACUUGGUAAAAAUUGAUGGCAAGAUGAAUACAGCAUGUUAUCAGAAAAUACUGGAGGAAAACUUGCACUCAUCAGCCCGGAAGCUGCACAUGAGACGUACUUGGACGUUCCAACAUGACAACGAUCCAAAGCAGAAGGCCAAGUCUACCUGUCAGUGGCUACAUCAGAAUAAAGUAAAGGUUCUGGAGUGGCCAUCUCAGUCUCCUGACCUCAAUAUCAUUGAGCCACUCUGGGGAGAUCUCAAACAUGCAGUUCAUGCUAUGCAGCCCAAGAAUUUACAGGAGCUGGAGGCUUUUUGCCAAGAGGAAUGGGCAGUUUUACCAUCUGACAAAAUAAAGACCCUCAUCUACAACUACCACAAAAGACUUCAAAGCUGUCACUGAUGUUAAAGGGGGAAAUACACGAUAUUAAGAACUGGGGUAUUUAAACUUUUGAUCAGGGUCAUUUGAAUAGUUUUUGUUGUCAAUAUGAUUUAAAAAGAGUAAAUACAGUUGUCUGAUAAUAAAUGGCUUCACCCAACCACUUA